rnacentral:rRNA from 1 species
UCUUUGAUUCUUCGGAUGAAGAGGUUUGUGACUGAGUGGCGGACGGGUGAGUAACGCGUGGGUAACCUGCCUCAUACAGGGGGAUAACAGUUAGAAAUGACUGCUAAUACCGCAUAAGCCCACGGUGCCGCAUGACACUGAGGGAAAAGGAUUUAUUCGCUUUAGGAUGGACUCGCGUCCGAUUAGGUAGUUGGUGAGGUAACGGCCCACCAAGCCGACGAUCGGUAGCCGACCUGAGAGGGUGAUCGGCCACAUUGGGACUGAGACACGGCCCAAACUCC